UUAUGAAAUGUCUAGCAAUCCUUUACUGGCUGCCCUGUUUAAGGGGCACUGCAAGGCAUACUUGGAACUCUCUGUGUACAUGGGCAGAGUUUGUCAGCAAGUGGGACUCAUGGAAGACAAUCAGGUCAUCAGAGUCCUAGAUAUGGAAGUAGCCAAUGGAAUAUACAUUUCUAAGGCUUUAUGAUACUCAUCUGAGCAACUUAAUACUCAGAGUAUAGGAGGGAGGCAGGAGCAGAUGUGGCUGCAGAAGAGAAGAAAGCAAUGUGACCACAGAAACAGAGAUUGGAGUCAUACAGCUACCAGCCGAGAACACCGGCAGGCAGCUGCCAGAAGAUGGAAGAGGCAAGGAACAGAUUCUCCCCAAGACCAGAAGGAUCCAAUCCUGAUGACACCUUGAUUUUAUUCCUAUAUAACUCAUUUUGAAUUUAUACUUAAUUGUAAUUGUUCUGGUUUCCAGAACUGUAAAAACAAAACAAACAAAAAAACCCAAAAAACAUUUCUAUUGUCUUAAGCCACAAGGUUUGUGCUAAUUUGUUACAAUGGCAAUAGAUAACUAAUACAUGCAUAUUUAAAACUUCUUGGAAUUUUAAGCCUAAUAAAUGUCCAUUAUACAUUAAUACUGACUCUGUGAUAUAGGCAAACUACGGAAAAGUAAAGAUUAACACAGCUAAAGUGGUUCAAAUCGCUCUGAUGCCUCCUAACUGGCAAACAUAACUAGCAUCUUUUGUGAUCCAGUUUUCACAUUUUAUAUUGUUGACGGCAUUUCCCAACUGCUGUUAUAUCAUUUCAUUAAUAGUGUUCAUCAUUCUCACCCCAAAUUCUUCUGAAACAUGUAGCUGUUAUGAUUGACAAUUUUUAUGUAUUAGCUGUUUCUAUGUAAACAACAAAGCAAUGGGCACUGUAAGUUGUGAUUUUUUUCUAAAUGCCCCUUAAUAAUUGAUCUAAAUUUUCUGAGGGAACUGAUACUCUAGAAAUCACUCUAACCUAAGAUGGUACUGUGCUAAAAAUCCCUCAAGCAUAGAGACAUUCAAGAUAAAUUUAGAUUCUACUCACACCACCACAUUAAGGCAGAGAUAUUCUAGAAUGGUCUGUAAAUAACCAGGUGGCAUCCUUGUUAGUCUCCAUAGGAAUGCAGUAACCUGAGGCUAAUUGCUACUGCUCUUACAGCUUCAGCUAAGCCAUCUGUUUAAAGUUAAUCUUGAAAAAUGAAAAAUCAAUCAACAUUUUGCCUCUCAGAUCUCGCCUACAAAGAGAAUAUCUAAUAAUUUUUUCAAAUCAAUAAAUAUCAUGUACACACAAGAAUUAGAUAGCCAUGCAGUUAUAAAUAUGUGAAAAAGAAUUUUUUAAAUCUUCUUGGAACUUAUGCAAACAGAAAGAAAGGAGCAACAAUCAUGUGAACAUAUAUAUAUUCCAGUUACUGGCCCAAUGUUGAAUCUUGUUAAUAGCUUUUAAAGAUUACUGUAUGUUUAAAGAUUACUAUACGAAUGUAUAAAUGCCUUUAUAUUGUCCCUGCAAGCCACACAAAAGUAUAUCAGAAUCCAGAGCUUAGAUUACUCUCUGAACUUUCUAUUUCCAUUUGAAAUAGAUCUUUUCUAGCCAUGUGUUGCCAUUUUUAUUUUUCUAUAGUGGUACUAAUUCCCAGAUACUUUCUGCUAAGAUAUCCUUCCAAUAUUUCCCCAAUACUAUAUCCUCAUCAAAAUGAUUUUUUGUUACAAUCUAUUAUGUUAUUGGACAAUUACUGUGCCAAAAUCAUUCUGAAUAACUUCUAAUCACGUUAAUUGGAGUGCUUUCAAAAGGAAUAAAGCAUUUGGUGAAGUACUGUUUAUUAAACAUCUGUUUUGUAUAUGGCACUAUAGGGUGCUACAAAG
rnacentral:lncRNA from 10 species